GUUUGACAUUAGAUAAAAAUUUAAUUCCAAUAAUAUACUGGUAUAAGGAAAAUUCAAAUUGGGUAGACAGACAAGCAGAGAAGAGCUGUGAUUCUUUAUAAGUCUAACACAUUGUAGUUUGGUGGGUGGAGACAAUGUCAGUUACAUUGCAAGUUCUAAAUCCUUUAGCUAACAAAUAAAAUAUUCAAAUAGAUUUUUGCAGCAAAAAAAGAGAUCCCAUUCCAAGUAAACUGUCUGAGCA